CAGGCGUCCGCAGGCCCUGACGUCUCCUAUAUUCCCGUAUUAUCCUUGGCCUCGUCUGAAUUGCGAAGGAUCCAUGUAAUUUUCUGAUUUGGAGGCUGAAUGAUGAAGAGCUUGAGUUAAUUGCUGAGUUUGCUUGGUUUCUGUUUAGUAUUAAGAUGAAACAGUCACGUUUAUACAAAACAUGUGUAUCGUUUGGAUAGGUUCUGGACUAUAUUGACUGAUAGACUAUUAAACAUAAAUCUGCUUGGUUGAACUACUAAUUA